rnacentral:rRNA from 1 species
UACAGGGGGUGCAAACGUUGCUCGGAAUUAUUGGGCGUAAAGCGCGCGUAGGCGGCCACUUAAGUCGGAUGUGAAAGCCCCUGGCUCAACUGGGGAAGUGCACCCGAAACUGAAUGGCUUGAGUGCGAAAGAGGGUCGCGGAAUUCCCGGUGUAGAGGUGAAAUUCGUAGAUAUCGGGAGGAACACCGGUGGCGAAGGCGGCGACCUGGGUCGACACUGACGCUGAGGCGCGAAGGCGUGGGGAGCGAACGGG